UAAGUAAAAUCGAUGAAGAAUUUUUUGACUUUCGAUGGUUGUUCUCAUAGAACUUACAAUCGAAAUUUACGUGGGCUGCCAUACACUAACAGAUGCAUGUAUGGCGAACAUGAGCCGCUGAUCGACUAACACUGCCCGCUAUAAUCUGUUUCGGUACUGACUGCUUGAACACACGAUCCGUGUAUGAUGACCGAAUAGAAGAGUAUCAUUCAAACAACAUUUAACUCAAGAAACUCAACAGACCGGUAAUCUGAUCGAAAUGGCUGUCAACAGAUGCAAAACCAAGAUGAAAACAAGUAACAUAAAAACGGUUGAAAUAUCAGAAAUCUCCAAAAAGAAC